rnacentral:piRNA from 1 species
UCCUCGAUGUGCCUGGUGGAAGC